UAUUAACAGAGCAGGAGAUAAGAAAUUCUAAAUUUAACAGAAUUUGCAAUAAAGGAAGUGUAAACAUUAGAUUACUCUUUACAGGAAGUGUUUAGGAAGGCUGUGUAAGUCACAUGCAGGAAGGUGGGACUAGGGCUGCAUCAACAAAGUGAUUUAACUCCUAAAUGGCAGAGAAUUGAGCAGUGAGACUGCAGAGGCAUGAUCUAU